GAUGAACGCUAGCGGCAGGCUUAAUACAUGCAAGUCGUGGGGCAGCGCAGUGUAGCAAUACAUGGGCGGCGACCGGCAAACGGGUGCGUAACACGUACGCAACCUUCCCGUUACUGGGGAAUAGCCCAGGGAAACUUGGAUUAAUACCCCAUAUUAUAUUGAUUGGGCAUCUAAUUAAUAUCAAAGCUUCGGCGGUAACGGAUGGGCGUGCGGUUGAUUAGGUAGUUGGCGGGGUAACGGCCCACCAAGCCUACGAUCAAUAGCUGAUGUGAGAGCAUGAUCAGCCACACGGGCACUGAGACACGGGCCCGACUCCUACGGGAGGCUGCAGUAAGGAAUAUUGGGCAAUGGACGAAAGUCUGACCCAGCCAUGCCGCGUGGAGGAUGAAGGUCCUCUGGAUUGUAAACUUCUUUUUUCUGGGGCGAAAACCGGUUUUUCUAAACCAUUUGACAGUACCAGAAGAAUAAGCACCGGCUAACUCCGUGCCAGCAGCCGCCGCCGUAA
rnacentral:rRNA from 1 species